GAUGAACGCUGGCGGCGUGCCUAAUACAUGCAAGUCGAGCGAACGGACGAGAAGCUUUCUUCUCUGAUGUUAGCGGCGGACGGGGGAGUAAAACGUGGAUAACCUACCUAUAAGACUGGGAUAACUUCGGGAAAACGUAGCUAAUACCGGAUAAUAUUUUGAACCGCAUGGUUCAAAAGUGAAAGACGGUCUUGCUGUCACUUAUAGAUGGAUCCGCGCUGCAUUAGCUAGUUGGUAAGGUAACGGCUUACCAAGGCAACGAUGCAUAGGCGAACUGAGAGGGGGAGCGGCCACACGGGAACUGAGACACGGUCCAGACUCCUACGGGAGGCAGCAGUAGGGAAUCUGCCGCAAUGGGCGAAAGCCUGACGGAGCAACGCCGCGUGAGUGAUGAAGGUCUUCGGAUCGUAAAACUCUGUUAUUAGGGAAGAACAUAUGUGUAAGUAACUGUGCACAUCUUGACGGUACCUAAUCAGAAAGCCACGGCUAACUACGUG
rnacentral:rRNA from 1 species